CGAGGGUUCUAUAGCUGGAGCUGAGACUGUGCGCCCUGGGGCAGGGGCCAUGCACCCCCUUGUGGCCAAAGACGGGGCUGUUUCCACACCCACCCUCCUUGCAGGAGGGCUCUUCCCCCUUCCCCGCGUUAUUUUUAGUAACAGUCACAGACAGGUCAUGGUCCUGGUGAAUUUUGGUUGAUGUCUGUGACUUUUACUAAACUUAACCGUGACAAAAUCUGAACCUAACUCAGAACCGCGUUUCCGUGUCCUUUCCUUCCAUCGGAGACCUUAUCUGUGCUGCGGGGACUUUUCCUUCGAAGACACAGAGGGGCCAGACUGCGGGUACUGCACCGAUAUCGGGCCUGCUGAGGGCGAGACUACUGGCCAGGGGCGGCUCCAGGCCUCGGAGAGACCAAGGGCAGGACGAGAAGCCAAGGCACAAACAGAGGAAGUGACAGGCCAGAAGCCUCUCUCAGCAGGUUAGUAGCAGGGGUGGG